rnacentral:rRNA from 1 species
UAAGGAAUAUUGGUCAAUGGGGGCAACCCUGAACCAGCCAUGCCGCGUGCAGGAUGAAGGCCUUCGGGUUGUAAACUGCUUUUGUACGGAACGAAAAGUCUCUUUCUAAUAAAGAGGGAUCAUGACGGUACCGUAAGAAUAAGCACCGGCUAACUACGUGCCAGCAGCCGCGGUAAUACGUAGGGUGCAAGCGUUAAUCGGAAUUACUGGGCGUAAAGCGUGCGCAGGCGGUUAUAUAAGACAGAUGUGAAAUCCCCGGGCUCAACCUGGGACCUGCAUUUGUGACUGUAUAGCUAGAGUACGGUAGAGGAGGAUGGAAUUCCGCGUGUAGCUGUGAAAUGCAUAGAUAUGCGGAGGAACACCGAUGGCGAAGGCAAUCCCCUGGACCUGUACUGACGCUCAUGCACGAAAGCGUGGGGAGCAAACA